rnacentral:misc_RNA from 1 species
AAGUCGUAACAAGGUUUCCGUAGGUGAACCUGCGGAAGGAUCAUUAAUACGUACUUUUCACGUAUCACUCAAUCGUGGACUUGUCCCGCUUUUUGUGGAGAGUUGAAGGCGAAAUUUUGUGGUCAUUUUAACCAGCGUGGGGGAGAGAAUUCUAACGAGUUCUCUCUUUUUGACCUGUUCGCCGAGGAUUAAUAAAUCGACUCGCCAAAGAUGAUUGGAAAGACAAGUGCAGCUUGUUCUGCAUGCAUCAAUUCGAUCAAAACUUUGGCUGUUUCGAUUCGACUCUUUACAAAGCGUUUUUAACCAAUCCAUGCUGGGAUCAAUUAUUUUACCCCAAGUACUAUUAUCAUGAACUAAAUGUGUUUUUUCGCUUAACUGUGAAAAAACGCCAAAUACCGAAACUUAAGAACAACUCUUAACAACGGAUAUCUUGGUUCUC